GUCUACAGCCAUGCCACCCUGAACAAGCCUGAUCCCGUCUGAUCUCAGAAGCUAAGCAGGGUCGGGCCUGGUUAGUACUUGGAUGGGAGAUCACCUGGGAAGAUCAGGUGCUGUAGGCA
rnacentral:rRNA from 1 species